UCAGUAUAAAUCUGGAAAACAAUCCACUUUGCAAAUUCGUAGAAUUAAUUCUUGAUUAUUCAAUUGAAUAUAUCGUAGAACCUUGAAAGCGUUGUACCCUUUCAUCAUUACAUUAUUGUGCAGUAUAAAAUACGAGAAAACUUGUUAUUGAAUAACGAUUUGUUCAGCUAUUUCAAAGUUCCCCGAACUUUGGUUUCAUUCUAUCAAAAUAGAUAGUCUGGUGAUUUGAAUACUUAUACAUUUAUUGUAUGUAUUAACUUGCGGGGCAAAUUUGUUGCUCACCCUUGCUAAAUAAAACAUUUCAGCUAGGGACGAAGUGGCAGGAGGUGCUGCGAAGAAUAAAG
rnacentral:lncRNA from 1 species